UACGGAGGGGGCAAGCGUUGUUCGGAAUUACUGGGCGUAAAGGGCGCGCAGGCGGCUGCUCAAGUCAGGCGUGAAAGGCCUGGGCUCAACCCGGGAAUUGCGCUUGAGACUGGGCUGGCUUGAGUGCGGGAGAGGAUGGUGGAAUUCCCAGUGUAGAGGUGAAAUUCGUAGAUAUUCGGAAGAACACCAGUGGCGAAGGCGGCUCACUGGCCCGGUACUGACGCUGAGACGCGAAAGCGUGGGGAGCGAACAGG
rnacentral:rRNA from 1 species